ensembl:rRNA 5S_rRNA 5S ribosomal RNA
GCCUCCAGCCAUACCACCCUGGAUGUGCCCGGUCUCAUCUGAUGUCAGAAGCUAAGCAGGGUCAGGCCUGGUUAGUACUUGGAUGGGAGAUCCUUGGACAGGACACACGACUAGAGGAA